AGCUUUUUGCAGUGGCAGUAUCAUAGCCAAUGAAGUUUAUCAGAGGUGUGAUUAUUGCCAACUGUAAGCUUUUCCCAACACCCCACCAUGACGACUUAAAAUAUAGUUGGCAUUGGCAAUUAAAAAAAAAUUUUUUAAAAG